UACGUAGGGGGCAAGCGUUGUCCGGAUUCAUUGGGCGUAAAGAGCGUGUAGGCGGCCAGGUAGGUCGGUUGUGAAAACUGGAGGCUUAACCUCCAGACGUCGACGGAAACCGCGUGGCUAGAGUCCGGAAGAGGAGAGUGGAAUUCCUGGUGUGGCGGUGAAAUGCGCAGAUAUCAGGAAGAACACCAAUGGCGAAGGCAGCUCUCUGGGCCACUACUGACGCUGAGAAGCGAAAGCGUGGGGAGCGAACAGG
rnacentral:rRNA from 1 species